UACGUAGGGGGCAAGCGUUGUCCGGAAUCAUUGGGCGUAAAGAGCGCGUAGGCGGCCAGAUAAGUCCGGUGUGAAAGUCAAAGGCUCAACCUUUGAAUGCCGCUGGAAACUGUCUGGCUAGAGUCCGGGAGGGGCGAGUGGAAUUCCUGGUGUAGCGGUGAAAUGCGCAGAUAUCAGGAGGAACACCAAUGGCGAAGGCAGCUCGCUGGAACGGUACUGACGCUGAGGCAACGAAAGCGUGGGGAGCAAACAGG
rnacentral:rRNA from 1 species